rnacentral:lncRNA from 1 species
CAACUCGAUUCACCUAAUAAGUCGGGUUUGGGCUGCCUUGUAGAACUUAUGGCUUGAGGGUUUUGUCCCCUAGGCCCUUCUGUUGCCGAGAUGGUUUCAAGUCAAUAUGAGGUUCUGGUAGUUGUCCCUUAGUGGUAGGUGGGUUUGUUAGGGCAGGGUCUGGUGCUCUUAUCAAUCUCAUCUGAAUUUGUUUUUAAAGCUCGUCACAACCUUGUUUCUGUUUCCAAAACAUGGAAUUAAACUGAACUCAGUUGCUGGUUCAUGAUGACAAAGCCAUGGAAAGGUUUAGGGCUGCCCACGACAUCCCUGCAGAUGUUCAGAUAGAGCAUCCCAGUCCGAACAAGGUUCUAGUAGUUGUUCCAAGCAAUGUGGAUUGUAUUCCGAUCUAUAUUGGCUGAUCUACCAGGCCGAGCUCCGGUUUCCCAUCAGCCCAUUAUUGAAGGAGGUGAUGGCACAGUGCCGCCUAAACUUCAUGCAAGUGUCCGUCAACUUUGUCUGAACCGUGCUUGUGGUCAACAUGUUGAUGUGUAUAUUGGAAAAACCCUUCAAUACCGAUAAUUAGCUUAAUAUUUACACAAUAGUUUGACCAAAGAGGGAGUUGGGCAACCCCCUCUACUUGGGUAAUCAUUACUUGUGCCUUAGGAAUCCCAAUCAACCUCAAACAAGGUUGAUCGAUGGUAACCUGGACAAAGAUUUGUUCUUGAUUAGUUUGUCUAGGUUUUAGGUGGUUGGGAGUUCCGAGCUGGGGAUGACGGUCUCUAGUCAUUCCCCAGGUACAACAGUUGCUUGCCUAACAGUAGGUAUUUUUUUCAUCGAGUCUAUGCAUUUUAUACGUUUGCACAUUCCUCCGAUGUUGAUACCUCUUUUCGUUGUUUGUGUAGAAUUCAAUGAUAUAUUCAAAUGCCAAAGUGAAAAGUGUAAGGAGGCCAUCCAGGCUUCCAAUAACAAGCAAGCUUCUAGGGAUGUCAUUGUUUUUCUCGAAUACGAGCCGAUUUACCGGCAUAGGAUUCCGCGCAGAACCACAGAGCUUGUCAGGGCAAGUCUUCCUCCUUUCCGCAUUGAAGGUCGGGCUCUAAGGCAUGAAGCUUUCAGUCCGGAGAGGUCCGGCGAUGAGCUUAAUGCACACCGUCCUGCUACCCAAGUUCAAGGUCAUAAAGAGGAUGUUACCUCAAGCUCGUUGAGCAACACUUCUCCGGAUCCCAUUGACAGCGAGGAUGAGGAGGGAAAAGAGGCUGUAAACCAACUUGUGCUGAAUAAGAGGUGAGGUCGAGUGAUUCCCGUAGUUAAGCUAGAGGAUCUAGCCUUACCCAUUUCCAUCUUGAGCUCGGACAACGAGCAUUCAAACGAUCUUGCUCGCGUUCCCCCUCAGUUCGUAAAAGAGGUUGAGGCCGUUAGACCGAGCUUGGGGCAAAGCCAACGUAAUGAGGUUCAAGAGUUUGAAGAAAGCCACUUCAGCUGCCGAUUUCCCCAUCAUGGCGGCUCUUCUUGUUCCCCAACAAAUUGUUGAUUUGAUCAUGGAGUUGGUCAAGCUCACCAGAGGUCCCUCCUCUGGGCAAUCGUAAGGGGAAGGAACUCUCUGCUGGCGGGCCGAAGAGGCCCUACAAGAAAGUAGGGGAAACAAGCUCUAUUACGACUUUCGAUUUUUGAAAGCUCGAAUUCUCCACCUGUGAGGUCGGCAGGCAAUUAAUAGAAGCUGACUUCGCCCAAGAUCAUGACACAAAUGUGGCUCUUGCGCGAGCUGUCAUGUUGCCAAACGACAUCUCUGCCUUCGUCGAAAAGACCUCAAAGACGAUGAAAAGUUUGUUGGUGAUGCAACACAUUCAGGUAAGCAUUAUGACUUCGGUACGUUUUGACUUGUAUAUCCAGAAUUGUAUUUUAAAAUUGUGCAUUUGGUUUGCAAAGCCUUCAAGAGCGAUGGAAAUCUCGGACCGCAUGGCAGAGCACUCGUCCGAGCUAAAGAGGGCCAAAAAGAAGACAGGUAGUUUGGAGUCCGAGUUGAAGAAAGCAAAGCUCGUACUGGCCGACGUUGAUAAGAUGAAGGCAGAUUUAAGCUGCUGUGGAGAAAGCCCAGGACUCCAGCUACGCGGCUGCUACCCAAGCUCAAGACAAGGCUACAACUACCAAGGCUACCCUUGCCUAGCUUCAAAUGGUGGCGUGUGGCCCCAUCUACGAGCGAGUCUUCAACAACAGAAUCAAUCGGGCAGGGGAUAACUAUAGUAGGUAGGUCCGCUCUGAAUCUUUCUUGGAGGGAUGGCUUAUUUGUUUGGCAGAGCUCAGUGUACCUGAGGACGACCCCACUUGGACCAAGGCUGCCCCUGCUCCCGAGGUCCCCAAAACUCCUACACAUUAUUCUCCCAUGAUCUUUCCCGGCUUCGACGAGGAGGGGUACAUGAACAGGCUGGAUGAAGAUAAGGAUGUUCAUGAGCCUAUUCUUGCUCCUGUUGUGGCCUUGAACAUCAAAGUUGACAAUGUUGCGGAGGAAAUCGGGGGAACGGUUGCU